CUCCGACAUGAGAGCGACCAGAGACAAAGAGCAGUGGAUAACAAGCUGUCCCUUGGGUAGUGUUUACAUUCAUCAGCCAUGCCAGGGGCCAGACGUCACGGACGAGGGGCAGGCAGGACGGCUGGGCUAAGAAGAACGGGACAAUCUCCAAAGAGAUAAGCAAAGAAAGGACCACAUCCUCACUCACGUGACACACAGACUCACUGGAUCGAUCCGGAGCAGAAAGAGCAGGAAGCUCCAGUGUGGCUGGUUAGAGGGCAAACACCCCCAGGAAACAAGGACAGGAUGGUACCUCCAUUGCACAUAAGCUAG